rnacentral:rRNA from 1 species
CUGCGAAUGGCUCAUUAUAUAAGUUAUCGUUUAUUUGAUAGCACGUUUCUACUUGGAUAACCGUGGUAAUUCUAGAGCUAAUACAUGCUGAAAAUCCCGACUUCGGAAGGGAUGUAUUUAUUAGAUUAAAAACCAAUGCCCUCUGGGCUUUCUGGUGAUUCAUGAUAACUGCGCGAAUCGCAGGGCCUUGCGCCGGCGAUGGUUCAUUCAAAUCUCUUCCCUAUCAACUUUCGAUGCGAAGAUCUGGUCUUCGCAUGGUUACAACGGGUAACGGAGGGUUAGGGCUCGACCCCGGAGAAGGAGCCUGAGAGACGGCUACUACAUCCAAGGAAGGCAGCAGGCGCGCAAAUUACCCAAUCCCGACACGGGGAGGUAGUGACAAUAAAUACUGAUACAGGGCUCUUUUGGGUCUUGUAAUUGGAAUGAGUACAAUUUAAAUCCCUUAACGAGGAACAAUUGGAGGGCAAGUCUGGUGCCAGCAGCCGCGGUAAUUCCAGCUCCAAUAGCGUAUAUUAAAGUUGUUGUGGUUAAAAAGCUCGUAGUUGAACCUUGGGCCUGGCUGGCCGGUCCCCCUCACCGGGUGCACUGAUCCAGCCGGGCCUUUCCCUCUACGGAACCCCAUGGCCUUCACUG